rnacentral:rRNA from 1 species
UUCCAGACUCCUACGGGAGGCAGCAGUGGGGAAUAUUGCACAAUGGGGGAAACCCUGAUGCAGCGACGCCGCGUGAGCGAUGAAGUAUUUCGGUAUGUAAAGCUCUAUCAGCAGGGAAGAAAAUGACGGUACCUGACUAAGAAGCCCCGGCUAACUACGUGCCAGCAGCCGCGGUAAUACGUAGGGGGCAAGCGUUAUCCGGAUUUACUGGGUGUAAAGGGAGCGUAGACGGCUGUGCAAGCCAGAUGUGAAAGCCCGGGGCUCAACCCCGGGACUGCAUUUGGAACUGUGUGGCUGGAGUGUCGGAGAGGCAGGCGGAAUUCCUAGUGUAGUGGUGAAAUGCGUAGAUAUUAGGAGGAACACCAGUGGCGAAGGCGGCCUGCUGGACGAUGACUGACGUUGAGGCUCGAAAGCGUGGGGAGCAAACAGGAUUAGAUACCCUCGUAC